GAACACGGACCAAGGAGUCUAACAUGUGUGCGAGUCACUGGGCGGCAAACCCAGAGGCGGAAUGAAAGUGAAGACCGGCUCGACUGGUUGAUACGGGAUCUUCCCUUGAGGGAGCGCACCGUAGCCCCGUCUUGUUAGCUCGUCUAAAGGGCGGAGGAAGAGCAUACACGUUGGGACCCGAAAGAUGGUGAACUAUGCCUGAGCAGGACGAAGCCAGAGGAAACUCUGGUGGAGGUCCGAAGCGGUUCUGACGUGCAAAUCGAUCGUCAGACUUGGGUAUAGGGGCGAAAGACUAAUCGAACCAUCUAGUAGCUG
rnacentral:rRNA from 1 species